rnacentral:lncRNA from 1 species
AAUAAAAAUUAUCAUUUGAGUCUACAAAACUAACUGAAAUAAAUUUAUCAUUACAUUAAAAGAAAUAUAUAUUGUAGUGUUUCAGAUAUUUGGAUAGGAUUGACUACAGUAUUAGUGACUGGUCGGCACAUCUGGAGAGUGUCGGACUGAGUCGGAAUCGUUUCUGCACGAAAUGGAUGCAGAAAUGGACUUGGCGCACUCAAAGGAGCAAAACUGAAGUUUUGCCAGUUUCGGGCGCUCAGAACAGGAUUUGGGUCGCCCAGAAUUCGAGUGCUGAACUGAGCAGAACUGGAAGCCAAUUCGGAUCUUAGUUUUGGGCGCCCAGAAAAGGGUCCGAAAGUUCACUUUGUGAAUAUCGCCUGUGCUGACAUGUGUAUAUGGUAGGCGAGUUCCGCCGAACCAGGUUAAGGGUGCAGCACACCGCGGGCGGAGGAACUGAAG